AAGUCGUAACAAGGUCUCCGUUGGUGAACCAGCGGAGGGAUCAUUAGCGAGACUUAGUGCUCCACACCCCUGUGAACCGUACCUGUCAAAAUUUUAUCUUGCAGCGUUGUUUCGGCGGGUCCAGCCGGGUUUGGGCCGGGAGAAUUUUUAUGUUCCUCCGGCCCCGGCCCUGGCGGGUUUCGGCUGGCCUUCUAAGCCAACUGAAGCCGCCUGCCGACAGCGCCAAACACUUCUAUUAUUUUAGCUCUUUUGUCUGAGUGGCCUAUUGUUUAAAAAACAAGUUAAAACUUUCAACAACGGAUCUCUUGGUUCUG
rnacentral:misc_RNA from 1 species